rnacentral:rRNA from 1 species
AUUGAACGCUGGCGGCAUGCCUUACACAUGCAAGUCGAACGGCAGCACGGGUGCUUGCACCUGGUGGCGAGUGGCGAACGGGUGAGUAAUACAUCGGAACAUGUCCUGUAGUGGGGGAUAGCCCGGCGAAAGCCGGAUUAAUACCGCAUACGAUCUACGGAUGAAAGCGGGGGACCUUCGGGCCUCGCGCUAUAGGGUUGGCCGAUGGCUGAUUAGCUAGUUGGUGGGGUAAAGGCCUACCAAGGCGACGAUCAGUAGCUGGUCUGAGAGGACGACCAGCCACACUGGGACUGAGACACGGCCCAGACUCCUACGGGAGGCAGCAGUGGGGAAUUUUGGACAAUGGGCGAAAGCCUGAUCCAGCAAUGCCGCGUGUGUGAAGAAGGUCUUCGGGUUGUAAAGCACUUUUGUCCGGAAAGAAAUCCUUGGCUCUAAUACAGUCGGGGGAUGACGGUACCGGAAGAAUAAGCACCGGCUAACUACGUG